GACGAACGCUGGCGGCGUGCUUAACACAUGCAAGUCGAACGGAGUGGCGAACGGGUGAGUAACACGUGGGUGCUCUGCCUUGCACUCUGGGAUAAGCUUGGGAAACUGGGUCUAAUACCGGAUAGUGCAAGAUGAGCUCGCGGCCUAUCAGCUUGUUGGUGGGGUAAUGUCCUACCAAGGCGUCGACGGGUAGCCGGCCUGUGAGGGUGUACGGCGACAUUGGGUCUGAGAUACGGCCCAGACUCCUACGGGAGGCAGCAGGGGGGAAGAGUGCACAAUGGGCGGAAGCCUGAUGCAGCGACGCGGCGGGGGGGAUGACGGCCGUCGGGUUGUAAACGCCUUUCGACAGGGAAGCGGGACCUGUAGAAGAAGCACCGGCUAACUACGUGCCAGCCGCCGCGGUAAUAC
rnacentral:rRNA from 1 species